GAUGAACGCUGGCGGCGUGCUUAACACAUGCAAGUCGAACGGAAAGGCCCAAGCUUGCUUGGGUACUCGAGUGGCGAACGGGUGAGUAACACGUGGGUGAUCUGCCCUGCACUUCGGGAUAAGCCUGGGAAACUGGGUCUAAUACCGGAUAGGACCACUUCUUGGAUGUUGUGGUGGAAAGUUUUUUCGGUGUGGGAUGAGCUCGCGGCCUAUCAGCUUGUUGGUGGGGUAAUGGCCUACCAAGGCGUCGACGGGUAGCCGGCCUGAGAGGGUGUACGGCCACAUUGGGACGGAGGUGCGGCCCAGACUCCUACGGGAGGCAGCAGUGGGGAAGAUUGAACAAUGGGCGCAAGCCUGAUGCAGCGACGCCGCGUGGGGGAUGACGGCCUUCGGGUUGUAAACUCCUUUCGCUAGGGACGAAGCGUUUUGUGACGGUACCUGGAGAAGAAGCACCGGCUAACUACGUG
rnacentral:rRNA from 1 species